GCUAAUUUACCGAGAAGAAAAUUGUGGCUUUAUGAAUUGAAAGGAAUAGAAUUGAUUCAUCAAGCAAAAACAAACUUUGGUCGCAAAACAUGUUUAAAUAUGCUCAAAGCAUUUUGUAUUUGAAUAUUGCUUACAAAAAAGUCAUUGCAAUAAAUCUCAAGUUGUUGAAGUCAGUGAACAAAAGUAACAAGAGGAUGUUAGUGUCUUAAACCAACACGAAACAAUAAGUGAACUUAGCUGAAAAUGAUGGUAGUUUAAAAAUAAUGCAGUGUUGGCUAGCAGGCAGGGUUUGCAAAAAACCCAACCCAAAAAAACCCACCUUAAAAAAACCCAAAAAAACUCAAAAUAUAUUUGGGUUUUUUUAAAAAUGACCUAUUUUACAACUGAUAACUCUGAUUUUAACACUUAUAAAUGCUUUAUUAUCAGCAAGUGCAACCUUUAUACUGUAAUUACUCUAGUAAACACUGUAUUUAUAUACAUAAUGGUCUUUAGAAUAUACCCAAAAUUGAUCAAUCUAUUUUUGUAGCAAGUUGGUUAUUUAUUAUUUUUUUAAAACAUUUAGCAAGUUAUUAUAAAUGUUAUUGAAUUAUGUAUUAAAACAUUAAAUUAGUUAAAUACUUAUAAAGGAAAUAAAAAUCAUUCUAUUAACUAAAUUUCAAGACAUUACUAGUUAUUUAGUAUCUUUAUUCUCCUCUCGAAUGUCUAUAUUCCUUUAUAUUGGUAUUUGAUCUUUUAUUUUUUAAAGCUUAUGUUGUAAACUGCAAAAAAAAAAAAAAAAUACAAAGCCACAAGCAAAAUACUAUAUAUAAAAAUUAUUAAACUUUAUUUACAGUUUAGAAAUGAAAAGUUGUCAGGAAAAAAAAAUGCUAGAUUACUAGAUUUGUCCUUAAGUGCAUACAACUUUAAAACUUAAAAAAAAUUAAGUUAUGUGCUAGCAAGCUUGCAACAUGUUUGCUCAUUCAAUGAGAGAACAUGUUGAAAACUUGUAUGCAUUUCACAAGGACAAGAUUUGUUGGUACAAAUGACACUCGUGCUCAUCUGUCUUUUGACAUGUUUUGAAUAUUUUGCAUCAGCUACAAGUUUACAACAUGUACCACCAACAAGGGUGACUAUGAACAGCGGGUUGAAAAUUAACAUCAGUAUCAAGUUGCUAAAAGGUGAAGAAACACACACACAAUAGAGCUAUAUAAUGUGUUGCUUUGAUUCAGUUUGCAAUUUGCAUUGCAAAACUGAGCCGGUAAAUCAUCUUCAAGGAAAAAAAAAAACUUGGUGGCGAAGACACUGUAAUGGUUCUUAACAAAUUUACUUUAUAUAUAUUUAGAAACAAAGUUUAGGCAAAAAUCCAUUUUUUACCAGUCCAGUUGAUCAGGCCGAUAACUUUUCCAGGAAGCUGGACAGUAUAAUGUUCUGA